rnacentral:lncRNA from 1 species
GUCAAUUUGAUUUUUAAUAUUAAAAUUUUAAAGAGUUUUCGGAAUCUUAAGAUGAGGCAGGGAUGUUGAUAGAUUAGAUCCGGAACGGAUUUUUAAAAAUUCAAAGCCAAACCUGAGAGAUUUUGAAAAUCUAUAUCAAAAACCGAAUUCGACCAAAAAUUCAAAAACAUAAAUCCCAACCCAAACCCAAAACAGUUGUUUUCCUUUAGCAUAUUUGAAAACAUUAGUAUAUUAAAAUUUAAAUUUACAAAAUAUAAAUUGAAACAUAACGUCAAACAUUCACAUAUAUUUCAUACUACCUACUGAAAAAUUUAUUCGCGUUCGGAUCGGAUACAGGCAAAAUUUAUAUUUAAAUCCAAAUUCAUCGAUUUUUUUUUUAUAUCGUACCGUUUAGUAUUGAAUAAACCCGCCCACCAUUCUAGUUUGGAUUUGGAUAAAAUUUUGAAAAUUCAUGACCAUUGAAUAUCUAGGAUGAGGAGAUAUAAACUUUAUACUAUUUUUUGGGUAUACAGAUAGCAUUUCUCAAUGCCAAAAGGUUUUUUUCUUUUAGAGAGAAAGAUAACAUGUUAUUUACUUCGUUUAUUUCUUUUAGAAAAAAACUUAGCGGAUGUGAAUUAAUUAGAAUUCAAAUUUGGAAUCUCGGAUACCAACCAUCAAGCCUUUUGCCACUUGUGCCAGGAAUGGUCGAUUUUCUCAAGGUCAAAAAGUUAAGUGCGAUUGGUGAUCAUAUAAUGGGUGGAAAAAUUUUAGAAUGCAAUACUUACAUUGCUGAUGUGGUGUUUCCAACCAAUUAAAAAAUUUAUUUAUAGAUUUUUUUCAAAAAUAUUUUUAUUAUACUAUUUUUAUAAAAAAAUUAAUUGAUAACAAAUAAAUGAUUGAGUGUAAGUGUUAUAUAGUAGA